rnacentral:rRNA from 1 species
AUUGAACGCUGGCGGCAGGCCUAACACAUGCAAGUCGAACGAGUGGCGGACGGGUGAGUAAUGUCUGGGAAACUGCCUGAUGGCGGGGGAUAACUACUGGAAACGGUAGCUAAUACCGCAUACCAUCAGAUGUGCCCAGAUGGGAGUAGCUUGUUGGUGGGGUAACGGCGCACCAAGGCGACGAUGCCGAGCUGGUCUGAGAGGAUGACAAGCUGAACGGGAACUGAGACACGGUCCAGACGCCUACGGGAGGCAGCAGUGGGGAAUAUUGCACAAUGGGAGAAAGCCCGAUGCAGUCAUGCCGCGUGUAUGAAGAAGGCAUGCGGGUUGUAAAGUACUUUCAGCGGGGCGGCGUUACCCGCAGAAGAAGCACCGGCUAACUCCGUGCCAGCAGCCGCGGUAAUAC